rnacentral:rRNA from 1 species
CCCUGGCCUUGACAUACUAAGAACUUUCCAGAGAUGGAUUGGUGCCUUCGGGAACUUAGAUACAGGUGCUGCAUGGCUGUCGUCAGCUCGUGUCGUGAGAUGUUGGUUAAGUCCGCAACGAGCGCAACCCUUUUCCUUAUUUGCCAGCGGGUAAUGCCGGGAACUUUAAGGAUACUGCCAGUGACAAACUGGAGGAAGGCGGGGACGACGUCAAGUCAUCAUGGCCCUUACGGCCAGGGCUACACACGUGCUACAAUGGUCGGUACAAAGGGUUGCUACCUCGCGAGAGGAUGCUAAUCUCAAAAAGCCGAUCGUAGUCCGGAUCGCAGUCUGCAACUCGACUGCGUGAAGUCGGAAUCGCUAGUAAUCGCGGAUCAGAAUGCCGCGGUGAAUACGUUCCCGGGCCUUGUACACACCGCCCGUCACACCAUGGGAGUUUGUUGCACCAGAAGUAGGUAGUCUAACCGCAAGGAGGACGCUUACCACGGUGUGGCCGAUGACUGGGGUGAAGUCGUAACAAGGUAAGCGUAGAUGA